ACGGCGAGUGAAGCGGCAACAGCUCAAAUUUGAAAUCUGGCUCUUUUAGAGUCCGAGUUGUAAUUUGCAGAGGGCGCUUUGGCUUUGGCAGCGGUCCAAGUUCCUUGGAACAGGACGUCACAGAGGGUGAGAAUCCCGUACGUGGUCGCUGGCUAUUGCCGUGUAAAGCCCCUUCGACGAGUCGAGUUGUUUGGGAAUGCAGCUCUAAAUGGGAGGUACAUUUCUUCUAAAGCUAAAUAUUGGCCAGAGACCGAUAGCGCACAAGUAGAGUGAUCGAAAGAUGAAAAGCACUUUGGAAAGAGAGUCAAACAGCACGUGAAAUUGUUGAAAGGGAAGCGCUUGCAGCCAGACUUGCUUGCAGUUGCUCAUCCGGGCUUUUGCCCGGUGCACUCUUCUGUAGGCAGGCCAGCAUCAGUUUGGGCGGUAGGAUAAAGGUCUCUGUCACGUACCUCUCUUCGGGGAGGCCUUAUAGGGGAGGCGACAUACUACCAGCCUGGACUGAGGUCCGCGCAUCUGCUAGGAUGCUGGCGUAAUGGCUGUAAGCGGCCCGU
rnacentral:rRNA from 1 species